rnacentral:lncRNA from 1 species
GACUGGAGAGGCCAGCAGGCACAGUGACUUAAUCCAAGAAGAUGGAAUAAAAAGGCCUACCUCAUUGGGCUCGUGUGGGUGAGGAGAACUGAAGAGUCUGAGAGCGCGGCACGAGCCAGAGGCUACGGAAAACACUGCCCUCCUACACUCCACCUUGGAGAGACCCAGAAAAGAACAAGCUUCAUUUGUAAAAAAGGAAAACAGCUCAUGGGGGUGGCUUAAAGGCACUCUACAGUGUGCAGAUGCCUUCUACUUCUUCCAUCUGCCCUGUCUUUCCAAGAACCCCUAUGGCCCCAGGCUCAGA